UCAUUAUGGGGUCAUUGUGGGGUCAUUGUGGGGUCAUUGGGAUUUGGGUUCGGGUUGGGGUCAGGUUGAGGUUUAGGGCCACGAUUAGGAUCACUUUUAGGGUCGGGUUUAGGAUUAGGAUCAGGUUUAGGGUCGGGGUCGGGUUUAGGAUCGGGUUUAGGAUCAGGUUUAGGGUCGGGUUUAAGAUCAGGUUUAGGGUCAGGUUUAGGAUCACGUUUAGGGUUGGGUUUGGGGUCGGGUUUAAGGUCACAUUUAGGGUCACAUUUAGGGUCGGCUUUGGGGUUGGGUUUAGGAUCACAUUUAGGGUCGGGUUUAGGGUCACAUCUAGGGUCACAUUUAGGGUCGGGUUUGAGGUCGGGUUUAGGAUCACAUUUAGGAUCACAUUUAGG
rnacentral:lncRNA from 1 species